rnacentral:rRNA from 1 species
GGACUACCAGGGUAUCUAAUCCCGUUUGCUCCCCUAGCUUUCGCGCCUCAGCGUCAGAAGAGGUCCAGCACGUCGCUUUCGCCACCGGCGUUCCUUCCGAUAUCUACGCAUUUCACCGCUCCACCGGAAGUUCCACAUGCCCCUACCUCCCUCGAGACAGUCAGUAUCAGAGGCACUUUUCCGGUUGAGCCGAAAGAUUUCACCCCUGACUUGACCGUCCGCCUACGCGCCCUUUAAGCCCAGUGAAUCCGAACAACGUUCGCACGGUUCGUCUUACCGCGGCUACUGGCAC